GAGUUUGAUCUUGGCUCAGGAUGAACGCUGGCGACGUGCUUAACACAUGCAAGUCGAGCGAAGCGCUUUACUUUGAUUUCUUCGGAUUGAAAAGUGUUGCGACUGAGCGGCGGACGGGUGAGUAACGCGUGGGCAACCUGCCUCAUACAGGGGGAUAACAGUUAGAAAUGACUGCUAAUACCGCAUAAGACCACAGUACCGCAUGGUAUAGUGGUAAAACUCCGGUGGUAUGAGAUGGGCCCGCGUCUGAUUAGGUAGUUGGUGGGGUAACGGCCUACCAAGCCGACGAUCAGUAGCCGACCUGAGAGGGUGACCGGCCACAUUGGGACUGAGACACGGCCCAAACUCCUACGGGAGGCAGCAGUGGGGAAUAUUGGUCAAUGGACGAGAGUCUGAACCAGCCAAGUAGCGUGAAGGAUGACUGCCCUA
rnacentral:rRNA from 1 species